rnacentral:rRNA from 1 species
UACAGAGGUCUCAAGCGUUGUUCGGAUUCAUUGGGCGUGAAGGGUGCGUAGGCGGCGCGGUAAGUCGGGUGUGAAAUCUCGGAGCUUAACUCCGAAACUGCAUUCGAUACUGCCGUGCUUGAGGACUGGAGAGGAGACUGGAAUUCAUGGUGUAGCAGUGAAAUGCGUAGAGAUCAUGAGGAAGACCAGUGGCGAAGGCGGGUCUCUGGACAGUUCCUGACACUGAGACACGAAGGCCAGGGGAGCAAACGGG